rnacentral:rRNA from 1 species
UACGAGGGGGCAAGCGUUUGUUCGGAAUUAUUGGGCGUAAAGGGCGCGUAGGCGGCCAACUAAGUCAGACGUGAAAUCCCUCGGCUUAACCGGGGAACUGCAUCUGAUACUGGAUGGCUUGAGUUCGGGGAGAGGGAUGCGGAAUUCCAGGUGUAGCGGUGAAAUGCGUAGAUAUCUGGAGGAACACCGGUGGCGAAGGCGGCAUCCUGGACCGACACUGACGCUGAGGAGCGAAAGCCAGGGGAGCAAAGCGGG